rnacentral:rRNA from 1 species
UACGGGGGGAGCAAGCGUUGUUCGGAUUUACUGGGCGUAAAGGGCGCGUAGGCGGCCUGCUAAGUCGAACGUGAAAUCCCUGGGCUCAACCCAGGAACUGCGUCCGAUACUGGUUGGCUUGAAUCCGGGAGAGGGAUGUGGAAUUCCAGGUGUAGCGGUGAAAUGCGUAGAUAUCUGGAGGAACACCGGUGGCGCAGGCGACAUCCUGGACCGGUAUUGACGCUGAGGCGCGAAAGCCAGGGGAGCAAACGGG